UCUCAUUUCAGGAUUCCUCUUGCUGUGCUC
rnacentral:piRNA from 1 species